rnacentral:misc_RNA from 1 species
UUCUGGACUUGCUCCGCAUGUCGGGCUCCCUGCACUUUUGGUGCGGCCAACCGAACAUGGGGCUGUCUCUUCACUCUCCCUCCCGUCAUGUAAAAUGUCGUGGUUGGGAUGCUCGGGAUCGGUUGCCUGUGCGGUUCUACCCUCUCGGGGGUAGCGAAGUCGUCCCUGGAUGGAUAUUUGCUUGCCCUCCUGACACUCUGUGGUCGUUCGGGCGGCCGAAAUGCGGGCAAAAUCCUUGUGUUGGUGCAUGGUCGAAUGCCUUGCUGCCAUCACUUGUGUUUUAGCCGGCUCUCACGGAUGCGGUGCCUAGUGCUAGCUCUGCGGGGCUUUUGCCCUGCAGACUUCGGGAGGUCCCUUGUACGAAUCAUUGCUCUUAUACGCCGUUUGUCGUGUCGGUGACGACACGCAGAUCGUGUUCUGCCGUGCCGUUGUUAACGACACGUCAGAACAAAGUGUCCGGAGCGUGCUCGCGUGCAKGGGGAAUGCCUCCCGUUCGUAUGAGCAGCGAUUUCCGGUUUGCGUCGUGCGAAGGCCCGCCCGYCYGGGUCGGUGCCGGAGCUGACGYGCCGGCUCUCGUUUAAGACGUGC